rnacentral:rRNA from 1 species
AUUGAACGCUGGCGGCAUGCUUUACACAUGCCAGUCGAACGGCAGCGGGGUAGUGCUUGCACUACUGCCGGCGAGUGGCGAACGGGUGAGUAAUAUAUCGGAACGUACCGAGUAAUGGGGGAUAACCAAUCGAAAGAUUGGCUAAUACCACAUACGUCCUGAGGGAGAAAGCGGGGGAUCGCAAGACCUCGCGUUAUUCGAGCGGCCGAUAACUGAUUAGCUAGUUGGUGGGGUAAAGGCCUACCAAGGCGACGAUCAGUAGCGGGUCUGAGAGGACGAUCCGCCACACUGGGACUGAGACACGGCCCAGACUCCUACGGGAGGCAGCAGUGGGGAAUUUUGGACAAUGGGGGCAACCCUGAUCCAGCCAUGCCGCGUGUAUGAAGAAGGCCUUCGGGUUGUAAAGUACUUUUGUUAGGGAAGAAAAGGGAAGUGCUAAUACCACUUUUUGCUGACGGUACCUAAAGAAUAAGCACCGGCUAACUACGUG